rnacentral:tRNA from 1 species
UAUUUAUAUAAUUUAAAAAGAAUAUUACAUUGAAGCUGUAAAAGUGAUACAAUAUGUCUAUAAAUAA